GCCGGAGUGGCGGAAUGGCAGACGCGGCGGAUUCAAAAUCCGCUUCUGGAGACAGAGUGGGGGUUCGACUCCCCCCUCCGGCA
rnacentral:tRNA from 1 species